CCUACGGGAGGCAGCAGUGGGGAAUCUUGCGCAAUGGGCGAAAGCCUGACGCAGCCAUGCCGCGUGAAUGAUGAAGGUCUUAGGAUUGUAAAAUUCUUUCAGUAGGGACGCGGUACCUACAGAAGAAGCCCCGGCUAACUUCGUGCCAGCAGCCGCGGUAAUACGAAGGGGGCUAGCGUUGCUCGGAAUUACUGGGCGUAAAGGGAGCGUAGGCGGACAUUUAAGUCAGGGUGAAAUCCCAGAGCUCAACUCUGGAACUGCCUUGAUACUGGGUGUCUUGAGUGUGAUAGAGGUAUGUGGAACUCCGAGUGUAGAGGUGAAAUUCGUAGAUAUUCGGAAGAACACCAGUGGCGAAGGCGACAUACUGGAUCAUACUGACGCUGAGGCUCGAAAGCGUGGGGAGCAAACAGGAUUAGAUACCCUUGUAGUC
rnacentral:rRNA from 1 species